ensembl:lncRNA
AUGAAAAAAACCCCAAGCCAAACAACAACAGCAGCCGCCGCGUGGUGCCCGGAGCGUGCGGCCUCCCUGGUGGAAACAGUGAUGCGCGCGCCCGCCACGCCGGCCCAGACGGCCGCGCGGCGGCCUGACUCAGUGGCAGGAAGUGGUGUGUUUCCACUGCAGAGCUCGAAAACAAGCUGGUGUGGGGAGCCGCUGGGGCGUCGGUGGCAUUUCCCUGGCCUGUUUAUGAAAUACGGCGGGAAUGCGCGGCGGGGUUCCUCUCAGCGCGUCUUUUACAGGAAACCCAGGAGCCCCGAGUGGAAGGCGGGCGGCCGGGCAUGCUGGGAAAGCCCGAGAGUGCCCGGAUCAGGAAGGACGGGAAGGGAGCGAGGGAGACGCGGGCCCCGCGCUGUCCACGCGCCGCCGCCUUCCCAGCGCGGGCCCGAGCUGCUUCCUUCCCAGAGCCGGGUGUGGAAGGCACCGAGUGCCCAGAGGCCGGGCCGAGGCUGUUGAGUGUUGCUGCAGCCGCCGCCACCAGGAGCUCAUCUGACACCCAGGGCGCCAGGGCAAGCUGUCACCUUGUGACAUUCCUGCUGCAGCCCUGGGAGAAGCCGUGGAGGCUCUGGGAGGGGCAGCGCGGGGAGCGCCCGCCAGGUACCUCUGCUCACUCACCCCCACCAGAAGGGUGAAAGUAACAGCAGACCUGCUGGAUUGUGGGUGACUGUGGGAAGGGACCUGCCACCUGAUGGAGAGAGAGAUAAUGGUUGUGGGGGCACUGGGUGCUUUUCCCAGAAUGACUAAGGGGUGUCCAGAAUCUUAGCAUGACUCACCGCAGGUUGGUUCUAGAGCUGAGAGGAGGCUCAGCCACGACCCACUCUGCUCCACACAGAGACAGGGAGGGCAGCCCAGCCCUUGGCUUCCAAGGCCAGGCUUCUACUCAGUCUCUUAACGCCUGGCUUGUGCGAUGGAGCGCGCAGCUAAGCAUGCAGGAAUCAAAUGACCUGUUCUGUACAGCGUCUUUUCAGCCAAGGGCCUCGCAGGUGCAGGAGAGAGGCAGAGACCCUUAUGCCCAGGUCAUCCAAGGCAUAGCCGUCCGGAGGCAAAAGCAAAUUCUGUUUCAAACCAGAAACAGGCGGUCCCAGUUCUGGACUUGCUAUUUCAGUCCUCGCUCGAUGGCAUGUGUUCAGAGAGCAUCGCAAACCCUCAGCUCGCUUUAGAAGAGUCCGUGCCUAACGGCUUUCUCGGUGCUGCAUUGCUAGUGUGUGUACUCUAAAUGAUGAUCAAGAUGUGUUUCCAAUAUCCACAGUUAUUCGAGUUUCAUCUGCGAGGCGAGCUAUCAAAGGUAUUCUCUCUCUCUCUCUCUCUCUCUCUUUUUUUUUUUUUUAUAAGGAAACGCCAUUUUCUUCUGAAUGAAACCAUCGAUGGGAUUUUCUUACCAACGAAACAGCACUGAGGUUUCCUGAAAUGAAGUGGAGCCGGUGUUGCUCUGGUCUGGCCUCCGUGCAGUGGCCAUGGGAGCUUCCUGCUGUCUGAAAGUUCUCAGCGUGGCCGCUGCGAAGACCGCCCUCUCACAGGAGCUGUCGGUGGGCUGGGAGACACUGGGGCUCCUAAGAGUAGCUGCAGACUCACUGCCUUUGGGUGCCAGAGGGCACCCCUCCCUACCUCCCCCCGUCAGGACAUGCGGGCUCUUGGGUGCACAGAGCAGAGGGAAGCUGAGGCCAGGCCUCCAUGCGGGGGACUGGAAGUCCACAAGUCCACUGAGGUUGAUGUGUACCUGGGGCUGGCCCUUCCGGCCCUGAGGAUUUAACUGCAGAGAGCACUGCAUACAAGCGUCGGCCACCCGGCUUCUACUGGUCAUUUCUAGCCCGGAAUCUACACAGCGGGGAGCGACUCCGUGCUGUCUACAGGCUCAGGAGGCUCCCCACCUGCUCCCGGGACUGAGCUGCAAUGGGCACACACUGCUUUGAAACCUUCAGCAAAAGGGGAAAAAGGAAGACCAGUAUCUUCUAUUAGCAGUAUUUCUUCCUGCUUAAAAAAAAAUCCUGAAGCCUGCGUUACGGCUCCCAGCAGGUUAAGCUGUCACUUGCAACACUGGCAUCCCAUAUGAGCGCUGGUUCAAGUCCCGGCUGCUCUGCUUCCAAGCCAGCGCCCUGCUGAUGCGCUUGGGAAAGCAGCAGCAGAAGGCCCAAGUGCCUGCGCCCCUGCCACCCACAUGGGAGACCUGGAUGGAGCUCCUGGCUCCCAGCUUCAGCCUGGGCAAGCCCUGGCCAUUAUGGCCACUUGAGCAGAUGGAAGCGCUCUCUCUCUCUCUCUCUCUCUCUCUCUUUGUAACUCUGACUUUCAAAUAGAUAAUGAAUCUUAAAAAAAAACAAUCCCAGAGAUGGAUGAGGGAGAAGGGCAGUUGCUCCCUCAUGCUUCUGGUCAUUGGCCUGAGAGAGGCUGUGUUCAGGUGAUUUCCCAAUGGGUGCAGGCUUUGUUGGUGCUCCUUGGCAGAACUCCUCCUCCAGCUUCCUCCCGGCAUCACCCUCUUGCCAUCCUGCUCACGGCCAAGCAUGCUCAGUGAGGUUAGCCUGUCUCUCGAGACCUGACCGAGACCCUGCUCCUCUUCAGAGAGGUGCCCCCUUCUCGGGAAAACUGGGGUGGCUGGGAGAGAGUCACCAGCGCUCUCUGAGGUCGACAGCCACAGCCUGCUUGGAGUCGGUUGGGUUGCAGCCUUGGCCUAAGCCAGAACUGAUUUAAGUCAAACAGCUGCAGCCCCUGGCAUGGACAGAAUCCAAGCAGGAGUCCAGACGUCUUUCAGAGCCGCGGUGUGAGGCUCCCGUCAAACAAGGAGGGAAGCCCUCCCAGUGCCCCUGAGUUGCUCGGAACCAGCCCUGGCACCUGCAGCCGGCUCCCGCCAGCUUCCUUUGUAUUUUGUUUUGGAAUCCAAAGAGGCAAAACUCUAAAGUAGUGUGACUCAUGCUCUUUGUGGUUCACAGAUGGAUUCCGACAAUUAAAAAAAAAAAUCAAAAACCCCAAACAUAAGAUUCUGACGUUCAGGCAGCCGAGUGUCGUCUGCCCAGGAGUGUGCGUCUAUACGCAGACUUAACACCGCACACUGGUGGGCCCGCGGAGCCCCAAACCACGGUGUUUCAGGCCUACAGGGUUAUUUUCUCCUGUGGGCCCAAUAUCUACCCAAAUGAACCUCUAAUAUCACCCAGAUCAGACCAGAUUCAGCUUCCCCUGGCUAUCCCCAGUGUGUCCGUGUAGAGUUGGCUUACCAACUAGUAUGUGAUAUUGAAAUAAAUUGCCUUGAGGGCAGAAUUCA